GCUUGCUUUUUGCUGACGAGUGGCGAACGGGUGCGUAACGCGUAUGCAACCUACCUUCUUCUAAGGAAUAGCCCAGAGAAAUUUGGAUUAACACCUUAUGACAAUAUUUAUUCGCAUGUUUAAAUAUUUAAAACUCCGGUGGAAGAAGAUGGGCAUGCGUAACAUUAGUUUGUUGGUGAGGUAAUGGCUCACCAAGACUACGAUGUUUAGGGGGUCUGAGAGGAUGAUCCCCCACACUGGUACUGAGACACGGACCAGACUCCUACGGGAGGCAGCAGUGAGGAAUAUUGGUCAAUGGACGAAAGUCUGAACCAGCCAUGCCGCGUGAAGGAUGACGGCCCUACGGGUUGUAAACUUCUUUUGUAUAGGAAGAAACCCCUCUACGUGUAGAGGGUUGACGGUACUAUUCGAAUAAGCACCGGCUAACUCCGUGCCAGCAGCCGCGGUAAUACGGAGGGUGCGAGCGUUAUCCGGAAUUAUUGGGUUU
rnacentral:rRNA from 1 species